GGAAUAUUGGUCAAUGGACGGAAGUCUGAACCAGCCAUGCCGCGUGAAGGAAGGCGGCCCUAUGGGUUGUAAACUUCUUUUGUAGUGGAGCAAUAAGGUGUACGAGUACACCGAUGAGAGUACAUUACGAAUAAGCAUCGGCUAACUCCGUGCCAGCAGCCGCGGUAAUACGGAGGAUGCGAGCGUUAUCCGGAUUUAUUGGGUUUAAAGGGUGCGUAGGCUGUGCUGCAAGUCAGUGGUGAAAGACCUGCGCUCAACGCAGGAAGUGCCAUUGAUACUGCAGUGCUGGAGUACCCCUGCCGUGGGAGGAAUGAGUGGUGUAGCGGUGAAAUGCAUAGAUAUCACUCAGAACACCGAUUGCGAAGGCAUCUCACGAAAGGGCAACUGACGCUGAGGCACGAAAGCGUGGGGAUCAAACA
rnacentral:rRNA from 1 species